rnacentral:rRNA from 1 species
GACGAACGCUGGCGGCGUGCCUAAUACAUGCAAGUAGGACGCAGUUGUGCACGGGUGCGUCACGCGUAGGUAACUACCUAUUAGAGGGGUAUAACUAUUGGAAACGAUAGCUAAUACCGCAUACUAGUAUAUGGCCCUGCGUUGUAUUAGCUAGUAGGUAGGGUAAAGGCCUACCUCGGCAAAGAUACAUAGCCGACCGGAGAGGGUGAUCGGCCACACGGGGACUGAGACACGGCCCAGACUCCUACGGGAGGCAGCAGUAGGGAAGCUUCGGCAAUGGGGGGAACCCUGACCGAGCAACGCCGCGUGAGUGAAGAAGGUUUUCGGAUCGUAAAGCUCUGUUGUUAAGGAAGCGGUACUUAACCAGAAAGGGACGGCUAACUACGUGCCAGCAGCCGCGGUAAUUC